rnacentral:misc_RNA from 1 species
GGCUCUUGGGGCGACAAGGCCUUCAAAGAGGCUCAGAAAUACUGUAAACCUAAGGUAAUUUGGUCCGGCAAAGCUGAAAAAUACACCAAAAUCCCAGCAUUCGAGGAUCUGGAACAAAGCCCUAAUGCCAAAUAUUUGCAUAUUUGUGCGAACGAAACCAUCCAUGGGGUUGAAUUCAAGAAUUAUCCGAAUCCGAAAACCCUGUUGGUGGCUGAUAUGUCCUCCAAUUUCUGCUCGAAACCUGUGGACAUAUCUAAAUUUG